ACAAGCGGAGAACAUGUGGUUUAAUUCGAUGAUACGCGAGGAACCUUACCUGGGCUUAAAUGUAGAGUGCUAUUUUUAGAGAUAGAAAUUCCCUUCGGGGCUUUCUGCAAGGUGCUGCAUGGUUGUCGUCAGCUCGUGCCGUGAGGUGUCGGGUUAAGUCCCAUAACGAGCGCAACCCUUAUCGUUAGUUGCCAUCUGGUAAUGCAGGGGACUCUAGCGAAACUGCCACCGUAAGGUGAGAGGAAGGUGGGAUGACGUCAAAUCAGCACGGCCCUUAUGUCCAGGGCUACACACGUGCUACAAUGGUCGGUACAGAGGGCAGCUACCUGGUGACAGGAUGCUAAUCUCGAAAACCGGUCUCAGUUCGGAUCGAAGUCUGCAACUCGACUUCGCGAAGCUGGAUUCGCUAGUAAUCGCGCAUCAGCUAUGGCGCGGUGAAUACGUUCCCGGGCCUU
rnacentral:rRNA from 1 species